GAACCGUCCGAACGUUAUUCGGAAUCACUGGGCUUAAAGGGUGCGUAGGCGGCGCGGAAAGUUGGGUGUGAAAUACCUCGGCUCAACCGAGGAACUGCGCCCAAAACUUCCGUGCUCGAGGGAGAUAGAGGUGAGCGGAACUUAGGGUGGAGCGGUGAAAUGCGUUGAUAUCCUAAGGAACACCGGUGGCGAAAGCGGCUCACUGGAUCUCUUCUGACGCUGAGGCACGAAAGCUAGGGUAGCGAACGGGAUCAGAUACCCCGGUAGUCCUAGCCGUAAACGAUGAGCACUGGAUUGAAGGGUCCCUCCCAUAGCCUUUCAGUCGCAACGAAAGCGUUAAGUGCUCCGCCUGGGGGAGUAUGGUCGCAAGGCUG
rnacentral:rRNA from 1 species